rnacentral:tRNA from 1 species
GGCGGCCUAGCUCAGCUGGCUAGAGCGUACGGUUCAUACCCGUAAGGUCGGGGGUUCGAUCCCCUCGGCCGCCAUCA